rnacentral:rRNA from 1 species
AGUAAAUUGGUUAAGUUAGAAAGGGCGCACGGUGGAUGCCUUGGCACUAGGAGCCGAAGAAGGACGGGACUAACACCGAUAUGCUUUGGGGAGCUGUACGUAAGCGUUGAUCCAGAGAUUUCCGAAUGGGGGAACCCACUAUCUUUAGUCGGAUAGUAUCCUUACGUGAAUACAUAGCGUAAGGAAGGCAGACCCAGGGAACUGAAACAUCUAAGUACCUGGAGGAAG